rnacentral:lncRNA from 1 species
GAGACAGCAAUACAAAAACUGAACAAUGCCUGUUAGUAGCACAUAAAAUAAAUAAGCAUCUAUGAUUUUCAAUUUCUUAGGUGUGUUGUUUGCAUAUUCAUCAUAAAACUUGAAAACCACUGUGUUCAA